UACGUAGGUGACAAGCGUUGUCCGGAUUUACUGGGCGUAAAGAGCGCGCAGGCGGUCGAUCAAGUCGAGUGUGAAAGCCCCGGCUCAACUGGGGAGGGUCAUUCGAUACUGAUCGACUCGAAGGCAGGAGAGGGUAGUGGAAUUCCCGGUGUAGUGGUGAAAUGCGUAGAUAUCGGGAGGAACACCGGUGGCGAAGGCGGUUCUCUGGGCAUGAUCUGACGCUGAGGAGCGAAAGUGUGGGGAGCGAACAGG
rnacentral:rRNA from 1 species